GCGUGGGUGGCUCAGCAGUUGAGCAUCUGCCUUUGGCUCAGGGUGUGAUCCCGGGGUUGUGGGAUCGAGUCCCACAUCAGGCU
rnacentral:tRNA from 1 species